GAUGAACGCUAGCGGCAGGCUUAACACAUGCAAGUCGAGGGGUAUAGUUCUUCGGAAUUAGAGACCGGCGCACGGGUGCGUAACGCGUAUGCAAUCUACCUUUCACAGAGGGAUAGCCCCAGAGAAAUUUGGAUUAAUACCUCAUAGUAUAGCAGUUUCGCAUGAAACCACUAUUAAAAGUCACAACGGUGAAAGAUGAGCAUGCGUCCCAUUAGCUAGUUGGUAAGGUAACGGCUUACCAAGGCAACGAUGGGUAGGGGUCCUGAGAGGGAGAUCCCCCACACUGGUACUGAGACACGGACCAGACUCCUAGGGAGGCAGCAGU
rnacentral:rRNA from 1 species